rnacentral:tRNA from 1 species
AGGAUUAUAGUUUAUUUAAAACAUUUGAUUUGCACUCAAAUAAAAUUAGAAUUCUAAUUUAUCUU